rnacentral:rRNA from 1 species
GACGAACGCUUGCGACGUGCCUAAGAAAUGCAAGUCGAGCGAGGUAGCAAUACCUAGCGGCGAACGGUCGCGUAACACGUAAGCAACCUGCCCCAAAGACCGGGACAACGUUCCGAAAGGAGCGCUAAUACCGGAUGUGCCCACCCUGUGACAUCACUAGGUGAGUAAAUCGAGCAAUCGGCUUUGGGAGGGGCUUGCGGCCUAUCAGCUAGAUGGUGGGGUAACGGCCUACCANGGCGACGACGGGUAGCUGGUCUGAGAGGAUGGUCAGCCGGAUUGGGACUGAGAUACGGCCCAGACUCCUACGGGGGGCAGCAAUUAGGAAUCUUGCGC